UAGUAGCGGCGAGCGAAGCGGGAAGAGCUCAAAUUUAUAAUCUGGCACCUUCGGUGUCCGAGUUGUAAUCUCUAGAAGUGUUUUCCGCGUUGGACCGCACACAAGUCUGUUGGAAUACAGCGGCAUAGUGGUGAAACCCCCGUAUAUGGUGCGGACGCCCAGCGCUUUGUGAUACACUUUCAAUGAGUCGAGUUGUUUGGGAAUGCAGCUCAAAUUGGGUGGUAAAUUCCAUCUAAAGCUAAAUAUUGGCGAGAGACCGAUAGCGAACAAGUACCGUGAGGGAAAGAUGAAAAGCACUUUGGAAAGAGAGUUAACAGUACGUGAAAUUGUUGGAAGGGAAACGCUUGAAGUCAGACUUGCUUGCCGGAGCUUGCUUCGGUUUGCAGGCCAGCAUCAGUUUUCCGGGGUGGAUAAUGACGGUUUGAAGGUAGCAGUCUCGGCUGUGUUAUAGCUUUCCGUUGGAUACAUCCUGGGGGACUGAGGAACGCAGCGUGCUUUUUGCGAAAGACUCGUCUUUUUCACGCUUAGGAUGCUGGUGGAAUGGCUUUAAACGACCCGUCUUGA
rnacentral:ncRNA from 3 species